rnacentral:rRNA from 1 species
GCCAGACUCCUACGGGAGGCAGCAGUGGGGAAUAUUGGGCAAUGGGCGCAAGCCUGACCCAGCAACGCCGCGUGAAGGAAGAAGGCUUUCGGGUUGUAAACUUCUUUUAAGAGGGACGAAACAAAUGACGGUACCUCUUGAAUAAGCCACGGCUAACUACGUGCCAGCAGCCGCGGUAAUACGUAGGUGGCAAGCGUUAUCCGGAUUUACUGGGUGAAAAGGGCGAGUAGGCGGGAUUGCAAGUCAGAUGUGAAAACUAUGGGCUCAACCGGUAGAGUGCAUUUGAAGCUGCAGUUCUUGAGUGAUGGAGAGGCAGGCGGAAUUCCCGGUGUAGCGGUGGAAUGCGUAGAUAUCGGGAGGAACACCAGUGGCGAAGGCGGCCUGCUGGACAUUAACUGACGCUGAGGCGCGAAAGCGUGGGGAGCAAACAGGAUUAGAUACCCCCGUAAA